rnacentral:tRNA from 1 species
GCGAGAGUGGCGGAAUCGGCAGACGCGCACGUUUGAGCGGCGUGUGGUAAUCCCGUACGGGUUCAAGUCCCGUCUCUCGCACCA